GACGAACGCUGGCGGCGUGCUUAACACAUGCAAGUCGAACGGAAAGGCCCCUUUGGGGGUCCUCGAGUGGCGAACGGGUGAGUAACACGUGAGUAACCUGCCCUUGACUUCGGGAUAACUUCAGGAAACUGGGGCUAAUACCGGAUAGGAAUCCUUGCUGCAUGGUGGGGGUUGGAAAGCUUCGGCGGUUUUGGAUGGACUCGCGGCUUAUCAGCUUGUUGGUGGGGUAGUGGCUUACCAAGGCUUUGACGGGUAGCCGGCCUGAGAGGGCGACCGGCCACAUUGGGACUGAGAUACGGCCCAGACGCCUACGGGAGGCAGCAGUGGGGAAUAUUGCACAAUGGGCGGAAGCCGGAUGCAGCAACGCCGCGGGCGGGAGGACGGCCUUCGGGUUGUAAACCGCUUUCAGCAGGGGCGAAGCUUGUGGUGACGGUACCUGCAGAAGAAGCACCGGCUAACUACGUG
rnacentral:rRNA from 1 species